rnacentral:rRNA from 1 species
GAUGAACGCUGGCGGCGUGCCUAAUACAUGCAAGUCGAGCGAACAGAUAAGGAGCUUGCUCCUUUGACGUUAGCGGCGGACGGGUGAGUAACACGUGGGUAACCUACCUAUAAGACUGGAAUAACUCCGGGAAACCGGGGCUAAUGCCGGAUAACAUGUUGAACCGCAUGGUUCUACAGUGAAAGGCGGCUUUGCUGUCACUUAUAGAUGGACCCGCGCCGUAUUAGCUAGUUGGUGGGGUAACGGCUCACCAAGGCAACGCUACGUAGCCGACCUGAGAGGGUGAUCGGCCACACUGGAACUGAGACACGGUCCAGACUCCUACGGGAGGCAGCAGUAGGGAAUCUGCCGCAAUGGGCGAAAGCCUGACGGAGCAACGCCGCGUGAGUGAUGAAGGUCUUCGGAUCGUAAAACUCUGUUAUUAGGGAAGAACAAAUGCGUAAGUAACUGUGCGCGUCUUGACGGUACCUAAUCAGAAAGCCACGGCUAACUACGUG